rnacentral:misc_RNA from 1 species
AUGGUAUUUAGUACAUCUCUAUUACCAAAAGAUAAAUUGAUUUUGAACAAAAUUCCAUAUUCAAAAUAAUUAAUAAAUGUAAUAAUUAACAAAUAUAAUUUAGAUAUUUACUAUUUAAUAUAAUAUAAUUAUUUAAUAUUUAAAUAUAUUUUAAAUUAAUUGAAGCCAAUUUCCUCAUAAAACCCAUAAAGUCAUAAAUUACAGAUAUUAAAUAUUAUAAUAUUAUUAAGUAACCUUUAUUUUUGUAUAAUUUGAUAAUUGCAAACUAUUCCAUCGUAAUUAUUAAAUUUACCUUUUAGUUUAGUUAAAAACAUUACAAUUUUCUAAAUUUAAUAAAAUUUAUUUUGUUAAUUAAUCAACAUCAAUUAUAAAAUUCAUAAAGCGUAUUCUAAUAACCACAUUGAUUUUAUUGUGAACGAAGGCAAGCAGAUGAAUGAAGCAACACUGGUGUAUAUAACUGCCUAUGAGUCGAGUUACAAAGAUCAAACUUUACCAUAGUUCUUAUUUAAUCACUUUAACGAAAUUAUGUUUCAGUAUAAAAAAGAAUAAACUAUAUAAAAUUUUAUUA